GGGCAGCUCUGGACGUCAGCGGCUCUGCACACAGCUCUGCACGCCGAGGGCUGAAGGCCUGUGUCCCCCAGAUUCACCUGCUGAAACCAAACCUCGGGGGAUGGUGUCCAGAGGUUUCUCAAGAGGCAAGUCAGGUGGUCUGGUGAUGGAAUUCCAGUUGAGCUAUUUCAAAUCCUGAAAGAUGAUGCUGUGAAAGUGCUGCACUCAAUAUGCCAGCAAGUUUGGAAAACUCAGCAGUGGCCACAGGACUGGAAAAGAUGGCGAUUUGCCGUGGGGGGUACGGUCUCUCCAGAUGCUCAGCACUCCCAGGUCCUGAUGGACUUCUGACGACUUGAUAAAGAGCGCCUUUCUGGUGGGGCUGGACUGGUCGGAGAGGAGCCCAGGUAUCUUCAGACACAGCGAUGCGCACAGAGAGGGAUCGGCAGAGCGGAACCUGGAGCCCGAAGAAAAGAGUGUUUGGCGUCGGUGACGGACCAGGAGCAGCUGCACUGGGCGAUAAGCUUGGACUGAAAAGCGAGGAGAUGAGGGGGGCUGUGGGUGCUUGCUCUGCCCUGUGAAAUAGUCCACACCUCUAAAGGCACUUCCAGCCACUACCCACAGUCAUAGUUUCAGCAGAGGACUCCUUCAAUGUCGGAUGAUUCCAGUGAAAACCGAGGCUGCUGCCUGGGAACAGCCCUCAUGGGGUGCUGGGUGAUCUUCCCGUGUGCAGGACAUGGAGUGUUGCUCACACAGCGAAGCAUCGCUGUUACCACCACUUACGAGAGUCUAGAUCAAAAUAGAGAAGAAUCUGUUGCUGCAAUUUGUGAAGUAGCACACUUCUGUUACUUCUGGUUUCGUGUAGAAAAUCAGAUGGGGCCAUCAGCCUGAUUCUAGGGGCACACACGGUAAUAGAUGUAGAAGCUUUGCAAUUAACCCAGUUUCUGCUCUGAUGACUACAGGGCCGGUUACUCUGGGACUGACUAUGGCCAAGUUUUACCCCUUGAACAAAGCUACUGCUCAUAGACCCCAGACGUCAAAGGAGCUCGCCUCCCAAUGUUGAUGUCACAAAGAGAUUUACUCUGGAACUUGUUGAAGUUGCUUUUUUUUUUAAACAAACUUUCCUUUAUUUCAAAGACAAACUUCUGCCUUGACCUGUUUCUGUAUUCAUCAUUUCCACAUUAUACAGAAUCCAAAACCACAAGGGUUAUGUGCCGUAUGAACUUAAAGGAAUUAGCAGGAAUUUACCUCAACAUAAUAAAGGUUAUGUAUGACACGCCAACCAGAGAAGGCAAUGGCACCCCGCUCCAGUAGUCUUGCCAGGAGAAUCCCAGGGAGAGGGGAGCCUGGUGGACUGCCGUCUAUGGGGUCGCACAGAGUCGGACACGACUGAAGCGACUUAGCAGCAGCAUGACACGCCAACAGCUAACAUCAUAUUCACUGAUGACAACCAAAAGCACUGUCUCUGAGACAAGAGCAAAACAAGACUGUGCCCAUGCUGGGCAAUCAGGCAAGAAAAAGAAAUACAAAGCACCCAGGUUGGAAAGGAAAAAGCAAAAUGAUCUGUUUGCAGAUGACAUGACUUAUGUGUAGAAGACCCCAAAGGUUCCAUAAAAAAAACUAUGCGAUUUAAUAAAUGAAUUUAGUGAAGUUGCAGGAUAAAAAAUCAGUUGCAUUUCUACACACUGACAUGAACCGUCCAAAAAGGAAGUUGAUCAAAUUCUCUCAUUCACGCAGGAUCAAAAAUUAUAAAAUAUUUAGGAGUUAACUAAGGAGAUGCAAGUCUUAUUUCUGAAAACUACAAAGCGUUAGAAAAUAAAGUAGAGGAGGUGAAAACGCAUGGAAAGAGACCUCAUGUUUGUGGAGUGGAAGGCUUAGGGUUACAACGUCCAGAGCCAGUGUUCAUCCCCAUCAGAACCCCAAUGGUAGUCUUUACAGAAAUAGAGAGAAUAGCUGAAAAGUAAAGUGAGUGAGGGCCCAGAAAGAAGAGCCCAAGCAGUCCUGGUAAAGAAGAGCAAAGCUGGAGGCGCCACAGUUCCUGAGACCAGAACGCAUCACAAAGGCAUGCUGAGGCACAGGAGUUCAAUCGAAGGAGCCAUGGUCUGCAUGGACGGUGGCCCUUUGUGGAAGGAAAUCCCCCAUCCUCAAGCGUGCAUCGCCCGAGCAGCAAAUCUUCCUAACGCUUGACUCAGGACCUGCUAAUCUUGUGGAUUUCCGAGAGUUCACAUGUUUGCCGUGGUUACAGCCUCUGGAAGGCUUGAAGGAUGGAGCACACCCUGGCCUCCUUUGUAGCCCAGCCAGCACGUCAGGGAAAGAGCAGAGGGCACUUUGCUCUCUGGCCCACCCGCAGUUAGGUGCUGGACAAGGUACUCGUCCUCACGAGAGGCUGACGCGGCCGCGGGCCUGCCCAGCAGUCCACAUGGCUCUUCUCUGGGCACCGCUCCCAGAUGGCGUGGUGCUCCCUGCCCUUGGCUCUAGGCUCCUCCAGGCUCGUGCCUGGGGUGGGGGGUGGGGGGCGGUCAGAAUCCACCACGUGUCAUCAUCUACUGCAGGCCUGAGUGUUCCGGAACAAAGGGAUCCCCAGGACCACUGGGUGGAGAGGGGAAAGCGGACUCCUGGAUCAACAGCAGGUGAUCAGGUCCAUGUCCAGUGACGUUUGCCUGCACGCUGGGGAAGCGACUCUUAGCAAUGGAGACUGUGCUACUUGGAAUACUCUGCCCCGCCUGGCAGCUCAGAAAGCAGUCCAUGAGAUACAGGGCCAACGCAGGGCCUCUCUCUGCUGGUUGAUUACGCCGAUUAAAGUCUUCCCAGCUUUGGGCCAGAGCUUCUAUCCCUCAGUCUGUCUUUGAUCUCUGGACUCUUGACCGAGGACUGUGUCCCUCUGUGUGGCCCUGUGAGGUGUGAGUUGGUUUCUUUGGUCCACACUGGAUGUCCUUUUUCACUCCAAACAUGCUCCGGUGCUUCCCAGCAGCUGAGAAGAGUGUGGCUGGCCGCAGUCUCCCCUAGCUCUUGUCUCAUCUCAUGUCCAUGACGGGGUGACCUGUCCACGUCCCGUCUGGGGUGUGCAGAGCAGACCCACUGACCUGGGCAUCUGUCCAAUGUUUGUG
ensembl:lncRNA